rnacentral:rRNA from 1 species
GACGAACGCUGGCGGCGUGCUUAACACAUGCAAGUCGAACGAUGAAGCCGGCGCUUGCUCUGGUGAAUUAGUGGCGAACGGGUGAGUAACACGUGAGUAACCUGCCCUUGACUCUGGGAUAACUGCUAGAAAUGGUAGCUAAUACCGGAUACGACCUUCGGAGGCAUCCCCAGGGGGUGGAAAGAAUUUCGGUCAAGGAUGGACUCGCGGCCUAGCAGCCAGUUGGUGUGGGCACGGCUCACCAAGGCGACGACGGGUAGCCGGUCUGAGAGGGGGACCGGCCACACUGGGACUGAGACACGGCCCAGACUCCUACGGUAGGCAGCAGUGGGGAAUAUUGCACAAUGGGCGCAAGCCUGAUGCAGCAACGCCGCGUGAGGGAUGACGGCCUUCGGGUUGUAAACCUCUUUUAGUAGGGAAGAAGCGAAAGUGACGGUACCUGCAGAAAAAGCACCGGCUAACUACGUGCCAGCCGCCGCCGUAA